AGGGUGUAAACGCUGCAGACUUGGUGUUGGAGGCCCUUUGGGGGGCAUUCAGUGCCGGAGAGAAGUUGUUAAGUCUGCUACUUGGGGAGUACGUCCGCAAGGAUGAAACUUAAAGGAAUUGGCGGGGGAGCACCGCAACGGGAGGAGCGUGCGGUUUAAUUGGAUUCAACACCGUAAACUCACCAGGGAAGACUGUUACAUGAAGGCCGAGAUGAAGACUCUGCUAGAUUUUCGGAGAGGUGGUGCAUGGCGUCAGUGACU
rnacentral:rRNA from 1 species